GACGAACGCUUUCGGCGUGCUUAACACAUGCAAGUCGAACGGAAAGGCCCUGCUUUUGUGGGGUGCUCGAGUGGCGAACGGGUGAGUAACACGUGAGUAACCUGCCCUUGACUUUGGGAUAACUUCAGGAAACUGGGGCUAAUACCGGAUAGGAGCUCCUGCUGCAUGGUGGGGGUUGGAAAGUUUCGGCGGUUGGGGAUGGACUCGCGGCUUAUCAGCUUGUUGGUGGGGUAGUGGCUUACCAAGGCUUUGACGGGUAGCCGGCCUGAGAGGGUGACCGGCCACAUUGGGACUGAGAUACGGCCCAGACUCCUACGGGAGGCAGCAGUGGGGAAUAUUGCACAAUGGGCGGAAGCCUGAUGCAGCAACGCCGCGUGCGGGAUGACGGCCUUCGGGUUGUAAACCGCUUUCGCCUGUGACGAAGCGUGAGUGACGGUAAUGGGUAAAGAAGCACCGGCUAACUACGUGCCAGCAGCCGCGGUGAUACGUAGGGUGCGAGCGUUGUCCGGAUUUAUUGGGCGUAAAGGGCUCGUAGGUGGUUGAUCGCGUCGGAAGUGUAAUCUUGGGGCUUAACCCUGAGCGUGCUUUCGAUACGGGUUGACUUGAGGAAGGUAGGGGAGAAUGGAAUUCCUGGUGGAGCGGUGGAAUGCGCAGAUAUCAGGAGGAACACCAGUGGCGAAGGCGGUUCUCUGGGCCUUUCCUGACGCUGAGGAGCGAAAGCGUGGGGAGCGAACAGGCUUAGAUACCCUGGUAGUCCACGCUGUAAACGGUGGGUACUAGGUGUGGGGUCCAUUCCACGGGUUCCGUGCCGUAGCUAACGCUUUAAGUACCCCGCCUGGGGAGUACGGCCGCAAGGCUAAAACUCAAAGGAAUUGACGGGGCCCCGCACAAGCGGCGGAGCAUGCGGAUUAAUUCGAUGCAACGCGUAGAACCUUACCUGGGUUUGACAUGGAUCGGGAGUGCUCAGAGAUGGGUGUGCCUCUUUUGGGGUCGGUUCACAGGUGGUGCAUGCCUGUCGUCAGCUCGUGUCGUGAGAUGUUGGGUUAAGUCCCGCAACGAGCGCAACCCUUGUUCACUGUUGCCAGCACGUUAUGGUGGGGACUCAGUGGAGACCGCCGGGGUCAACUCGGAGGAAGGUGGGGAUGACGUCAAGUCAUCAUGCCCCUUAUGUCCAGGGCUUCACGCAUGCUACAAUGGCUGGUACAGAGAGUGGCGAGCCUGUGAGGGUGAGCGAAUCUCGGAAAGCCGGUCUCAGUUCGGAUUGGGGUCUGCAACUCGACCUCAUGAAGUCGGAGUCGCUAGUAAUCGAAGAUCAGCAACGCUGCGGUGAAUACGUUCCCGGGGCC
rnacentral:rRNA from 1 species